rnacentral:rRNA from 1 species
UGGUGUUGAUUGCGGUGAGGGUCCACCCGUUCCCAUCCCGAACACGGCAGUUAAGCUCACCUGCGCCGAAAAUACUUGGCUGGAGACGGCCUGGGAAGAUAGGUAACGCC